rnacentral:rRNA from 1 species
CAGCCGCCACGGUAAUACGAAGGGGGCUAGCGUUGCUCGGAAUUACUGGGCGUAAAGCGCGCGUAGGCGGACAUUUAAGUCAGGGGUGAAAUCCCGGGGCUCAACCCCGGAACUGCCUCUGAUACUGGGUGUCUAGAGUUCGGAAGAGGUAAGUGGAAUUGCGAGUGUAGAGGUGAAAUUCGUAGAUAUUCGCAGGAACACCAGUGGCGAAGGCGACUUACUGGUCCGAUACUGACGCUGAGGUGCGAAAGCGUGGGGAGCAAACAGGAUUAGAGACCCGUGUAGUCCCUGUCUCUUAUAC